GUUUGUGACGGUUUGAUCGGGUAGAGCAUCGCACUAGUAACGCGGAGGUCAUGGGUUCAAAUCCCGUUGAAGCCA